ensembl:snoRNA LOC120093381 small nucleolar RNA SNORD113/SNORD114 family
UGGAUCAUUGAUGACCAAAAAAAAAAAAAAAAUCUGGGAGUCCUCUGAAAAUUCCAUGAUGACCACAACAUUGGGAGUCUGAGGUCCAC